rnacentral:rRNA from 1 species
UACAGAGGGGGCAAGCGUUGUUCGGAAUUACUGGGCGUAAAGGGCGCGUAGGCGGCCUGUUAAGUCGAACGUGAAAUCCCCGGGCUCAACCCGGGAACUGCGUCCGAUACUGGCAGGCUUGAAUCCGGGAGAGGGAUGCGGAAUUCCAGGUGUAGCGGUGAAAUGCGUAGAUAUCUGGAGGAACACCGGUGGCGAAGGCGGCAUCCUGGACCGACAUUGACGCUGAGGCGCGAAAGCCAGGGGAGCAAACGGG